GGGAUAACACUUGGAAACAGGUGCUAAUACCGUAUAACACUAUUUUCCGCAUGGAAGAAAGUUGAAAGGCGCUUUUGCGUCACUGAUGGAUGGACCCGCGGUGCAUUAGCUAGUUGGUGAGGUAACGGCUCACCAAGGCCACGAUGCAUAGCCGACCUGAGAGGGUGAUCGGCCACACUGGGACUGAGACACGGCCCAGACUCCUACGGGAGGCAGCAGUAGGGAAUCUUCGGCAAUGGAUGAAAGUCUGACCGAGCAACGCCGCGUGAGUGAAGAAGGUUUUCGGAUCGUAAAACUCUGUUGUUAGAGAAGAACAAGGAUGAGAGUAAAAUGUUCAUCCCUUGACGGUAUCUAACCAGAAAGCCACGGCUAACUACGUGCCAGCAGCCGCGGUAAUACGUAGGUGGCAAGCGUUGUCCGGAUUUAUUGGGCGUAAAGCGAGCGCAGGCGGUUUCUUAAGUCUGAUGUGAAAGCCCCCGGCUCAACCGGGGAGGGUCAUUGGAAACUGGGAGACUUGAGUGCAGAAGAGGAGAGUGGAAUUCCAUGUGUAGCGGUGAAAUGCGUAGAUAUAUGGAGGAACACCAGUGGCGAAGGCGGCUCUCUGGUCUGUAACUGACGCUGAGGCUCGAAAGCGUGGGGAGCGAACAGGAUUAGAUACCCUGGUAGUCCACGCCGUAAACGAUGAGUGAUAAGUGUUGGAGGGUUUCCGCCCUUCAGUGCUGCAGCA
rnacentral:rRNA from 1 species